UAACGCGAAGAACCUUACCAGGUCUUGACAUCUAGUGCCAUUUGUAGAGAUACAAAGUUCCCUUCGGGGACGCUAAGGCAGGUGGUGCAUGGCUGUCGUCAGCUCGUGUCGUGAGAUGUUGGGUUAAGUCCCGCAACGAGCGCAACCCUUGUUAUUAGUUGCCAGCAUUAAGUUGGGCACUCUAAUGAGACUGCCGGUGACAAACCGGAGGAAGGUGGGGAUGACGUCAAGUCAUCAUGCCCCUUAUGACCUGGGCUACACACGUGCUACAAUGGGCAGUACAACGAGAAGCGAGCCUGCGAAGGCAAGCGAAUCUCUGAAAGCUGUUCUCAGUUCGGACUGCAGUCUGCAACUCGACUGCACGAAGCUGGAAUCGCUAGUAAUCGCGGAUCAGCACGCCGCGGUGAAUACGUUCCCGGGUCUUGUACACACCGA
rnacentral:misc_RNA from 1 species